GACGAACGCUGGCGGCGUGCUUAACACAUGCAAGUCGAACGGUAAGGCCCCUUCGGGGGUACACGAGUGGCGAACGGGUGAGUAACACGUGGGUAAUCUGCCCUGCACUUCGGGAUAAGCCUGGGAAACUGGGUCUAAUACCGGAUAUGAACUCCUGCCGCAUGGUGGGGGUUGGAAAGUUUUUCGGUGCAGGAUGAGCCCGCGGCCUAUCAGCUUGUUGGCGGGGUAAUGGCCUACCAAGGCGACGACGGGUAGCCGGCCUGAGAGGGUGAUCGGCCACACUGGGACUGAGACACGGCCCAGACUCCUACGGGAGGCAGCAGUGGGGAAUAUUGCACAAUGGGCGAAAGCCUGAUGCAGCGACGCCGCGUGGGGGAUGACGGUCUUCGGAUUGUAAACCCCUUUUCAGUAUUUUUCGAAAGCGCGG
rnacentral:rRNA from 1 species